rnacentral:rRNA from 1 species
GAUAGGUUAAGUUAAUAAGGGCGCAUGGUGGAUGCCUUGGCACUAGAAGGCGAUGAAGGACGUGACUAACUACGAUAUGCCUCGGUUAGCUGUAAGUAAGCUUACCCGGGGGUUUCCGAAUGGGGCAACCCGAUCUUAAUGAUCAUCAUCUUUUUGAAUUCAUAGAUUAGAUGAAGCAAACGCUGUGAACUGAAACAUCUAAGUAGCAGUAGGAAAGUAAAGAAAUUUCGAUUCCGUCAGUAGCGGCGAGCGAACGCGGAAGAGCCCAAACCUGGAUGCUUGCAUCCAGGGGUUGUAGGACUGAUGUUGAGUUACAAAGGUAUAAGAUAGCAGAAACAGUUGGGAAGCUGUUCCAAAGAGGGUGACAGGCCCGUAUGCGAAAUCUUGUACUCUCUAAUCAGGAUCCUGAGUACGGCCCAGCACGUGAAAUUGGGUCGGAAUCUGGGAGGACCAUCUCCCAAGGCUAAAUACUAACUAGUGACCGAUAGCGAACAAGUACCGUGAGGGAAAGGUGAAAAGAACCCCGGAAGGGGAGUGAAAUAGUUCUUGAAACCGUGUGCUUACAAGAAGUUCGAGGCCGUUAAUGGCUGAGAGCGUGCUUUUUGUAGAAUGAACCGGAGAGUUACGAUUGCGUGCAAGGUUAAGGUGCAAAGACUGGAGCCGUAGCGAAAGCGAGUCUUAAUAGGGCGAAUCAGUACGUAGUUGUAGACCCGAAACCGAGUGACCUAUCCAUGGUCAGGUUGAAGGUGGGGUAAUACCUACUGGAGGACCGAACAAGUGGGUGUUAAAAAACCCUUUGAUGAACUGUGGAUAGCGGUGAAAUUCCAAUCGAACUCGGAGAU